rnacentral:rRNA from 1 species
UACGUAGGGUGCGAGCGUUAAUCGGAAUGACUGGGCGUAAAGGGUGCGAAGGCGGUUGGUCAAGACGGAUGUGAAAGCCCCGGGCUUAACCUGGGAGUGUCAUUCGUGACUGACGAACUAGAAUAUGGCAGAGGGAGGCGGAAUUCCACAUGUAGCAGUGAAAUGCGUAGAGAUGUGGAGGAACACCGAUGGCGAAGGCGGCAUCCUGGACCAUGACUGACGCUGAGGAGCGAAAGCCAGGGGAGCAAACGGG